rnacentral:sRNA from 1 species
CCGCCCAAUGCGCCGCCCACACCGGCUUCGGUGGUGCCACCGGCCAUGGCUGCGCCACUGACCAGGCCAAGGGACAACAAGAGAAUCGAGGAGAACUUCAUAGAGAGACCUCAAGAGGAUGACGGCGCGAUCCUGAGGCUGUAUUGACAUGGUUACAAUAGAAAUCCGACCAGUAGCACGAGUUGUACACAAUUCUCUAAGUUACUGUUUUAGCUCGGGAACUUAAGUGGUUUUUGCGAGUCUUUAGCUACUUCGGAACGGCCGCUUUUAUGCAAAAGCGGCCUUUUUUGUGUCCGAAAUGAUCAGUCAGGCCGAACGCGCCGUGAUCAGCCCAUUGUCACUGGCAGCUUCCAAACGUAUCGCCACGAA